rnacentral:misc_RNA from 1 species
GUGAAAGGCUGCGUUAAGCCUCGGGGAGUUGUCAAUAAAGCGUUGAUCCGAGGAUGUCCGAAUGGGGAAACCCGGCACGAGUGAUGUCGUGUCACCCGGCACUGAAUACAUAGGUGUCGGGAGGGAACGCGGGGAAGUGAAACAUCUCAGUACCCGUAGGAGAAGAAAACAAUUGUGAUUCCGUGUGUAGUGGCGAGCGAUAGCGGAUGAGGCUAAACCGUGUGCGUGUGAUACCUGGCAGGGGUUGCGUGUGCGGUG